rnacentral:rRNA from 1 species
GACGAACGCUGGCGGCGUGCUUAACACAUGCAAGUCGAACGAAGUGGCGAACGGGUGAGUAAUACGUGGGUAACCUGCCCUCCUUGUUGGGAUAAGCCUUGGAAACGGGGUCUAAUACCGAAUAAAGGGGGAUGGGCUCGGGGCCUAUCGGCUUGUUGGUGGGGUGAUGGGCUACCAAGGCGGUGCCGGGUAGCGGGCCUGAGAGGGUGACCGGCAACAUGGGGACGGAGAUGCGGCCAAGGCGCGUACGGGGGGGAGAAGUGGGGGAAAUGGGAGAAUGGGCGAAGGAGUCAUGCAGCGGGGCCGAGUGGGGGAUUAAGGCUGUAAGGUUGUAAACGGGAGGCGCAAGGGGACGGGUAGGUGGAGAAGAAGCGCCGGCUAACUACGUGCCAGCAGCCGCGGUAAUAC